AACAAACGCUGGCGGCGUGCCUAAUACAUGCAAGUCGAACGGGGAAAGCUUUCGGGUGAGUACUAGUGGCGCACGGGUGAGUUAUACGUAGAUAAUCUGCCUUCGAGUUGGGGAUAACUAGUCGAAAGAUUAGCUAAUACCGAAUAAGACCACAAGAACUGAGGUUCUAGGGGUUAAAGGUUUUUCGCUUGAAGAUGAGUCUGCGCGAGAUUAGCUAGUUGGUGUGGUAACGGCUCACCAAGGCAACGAUCUCUAACUGGUCUGAGAGGAUGAUCAGUCACACUGGAACUGAGACACGGUCCAGACUCCUACGGGAGGCAGCAGUAGGGAAUAUUGCACAAUGGGGGAAACCCUGAUGCAGCGACGCCGCGUGAGUGAUGAAGGCCUUCGGGUCGUAAAGCUCUGUCGCAAGGGAAUAAUAAACUGAAUGUACCUUGCAAGAAAGGAUCGGCUAACUUCGUGCCAGCAGCCGCGGUAA
rnacentral:rRNA from 1 species